rnacentral:rRNA from 1 species
CAGUCGCCACGGAAUACGUAGGGUCCGAGCGUUGUCCGGAAUUACUGGGCGUAAAGAGCUCGUAGGUGGUUUGUCGCGUUGUUCGUGAAAACUCACAGCUCAACUGUGGGCGUGCGGGCGAUACGGGCAGACUAGAGUACUGCAGGGGAGACUGGAAUUCCUGGUGUAGCGGUGGAAUGCGCAGAUGUCAGGAGGAACACCGGUGGCGAAGGCGAGUCUCUGGGCAGUAACUGACGCUGAGGAGCGAAAGCGUGGGGAGCGAACAGGAUUAGAUACCCCGGUAGUCCCUGUCUCUUAUGCA